ensembl:lncRNA coiled-coil domain-containing protein 117-like
ACAAAUCCCAUGAAGCCCCGCUCACUUGCACACUGUUCGAGAAAUGCGUCUUAAAAUUUAGGCUCUUGCAACUUCUCAUGUCAGUUGUCUUUAGACACCUUUCCACAUUUUAAGCAAAAUUGGCUUUCCGCUUUCGGGAGCGUGUGAGAGAUACUUCUACUUCUAUUCACACUGCGUGACUGCAGUUGCUAUUUAAUUCUGAUGUUUUCAGCUCAUCUUCAGCUGCUGAAGGACCAUGCAGAGCACCAGGUCAGGCAGCAGCGAGCUGGAGUUCAUCACAUUCUCCCCGCUUGCUCACUUUAGUAACACUGAUUUGGGCACAAUUAGCAAGCCAACCGGAGACUUGCAUCAUCUGACAGGUGGAUCUAUGCCAAAUACUUGGGAUAGAAGAUGCACGAGGAAGCAGAGGAGAAGGACAGAUGAUGAAAGCUGCAGUCCUAAACGGCGAAAGCUGAUGGGAAAGGAAGGAGCAGAUGACUAUCCAAGUCCUAAAGUGAGCCAAAGAUGGUCUGUGGACUCUACCACCACUUCCCCUUCUGAGACCAGCCCGGUUCAACUGCAGACUGAACCCAGGACAGAGGAGAUGGGUCUGCCCUUCACAUCCACUCCCUCUCCACUACCCAGAGUUCCCACAGAAGGCUCAGGCAUGGAGGUAGAGGCCACUCAGAGGAGAUUGCAAGAGAUAGAAGACAGGAUAACUUUGGAGGAUGAUAGCGAUGAAGAAGAGCUUGAUGUGGAACCGGCUCAGCGCAGACCAGUGCUGGUGAUGUCCGACAGCUUAAAGGAGGGGCUACAACGUGGGAUUGGUGACAUUCUGCCCCAUACGGUAGCACAGUCGGUGAGCUGCUCUUGUAUGGAAUUGGUGUUGUGGCGCCCCCCAGAGGACCCUCUCACCCAGAGGCUGAAGGACUCUUUACAGAGACAGCAGCGCAAGCAGUUGGCAGUGAGCAGACAGACUCCCACCCCUGUACCGCCUAUCAGCAGCCCCCCACCCAAGCCCCAGUUCACUGCACCCAAUGAGCAGACUUUUAGCCCCCUGUUCAGCAGCCCAGCGCUCCUCAACUCUGGAGAGGAAGACAUGGAGUUAUAGAGGGAAAUCUCUGAGUACUUCAUCUCAAACCUUUGCAUCCCAUGUGUGAAAAAAAACCUUGAACUUUAUCAGUGCAAAUGAGGAAUUACCAUAAGGAGCGGAGCAUAACGAGCACUUCACAAAUCCUCUCAUGAGAUUUUUCUUGUGCCAUGCAUCUUUGUUUCAACCUGCACUUUUUUUUGUAGGUGGGACCAUAUUUGCACUAGACUAAAUGGGAAGUAUACUAUGUGAACGUGGUCAGUUUUUCACCCCUCUGCGGUACAUUGGUUGAAUGUGCAGUUGCAACUUCAUAUUCACUCUGUUUGUGUUACUGGUUAACAAUGCAAGAAUAUUUAAGUUUUGUCUUUAUGCAGUUAGUAUUAUUGCAGAGUACUAGUAUACUUUGUACAGAUUCAGAGUGCUUGAUUUGUUACAAUCUGCCACAUUAUUUACAUGUAAUAUUUGCUUUUUUGCAGACAGCCAACUGCUCAAAACCUGAGACUCCUUUUGUUUUUUUGGUCCUCAUGGUGUCCAUAUUGAUUUUUUUUUUUAAAGAUUCUGUAGUGAUGGAAAAUUAUGACUGAGUAAUUUCAUGAAAGGAAUGGGUGCUUGAUGUAGGAAGGGUUGCCAUGUUCUUUUGAACUGGACAGACAGAGACGGCAGCACUCAUCUUUAUAGCCGGUUUAACUAUAUACACAACAGAAAAAUUAUUAUUGGAGGAGAUGCAUGGGCAUACAAAUUGAAAUCUAUUGAUUUCAGUCGUUCAUAUUACCUGGCUCAGUUUUUCUAAUGGAAAAACAAACAGCACUAAUUCUGGCUGUAAUUCUUAAACAACAGUAAAAUAAGCUGGAAAUCCAUUUUACCUGCAGUUUAAACAUUGGCCUAAAUUAUUGUUUAAACGUUUUGCAACUUAUACAUUUUGCUAGAUGUCAAAAUCGAAAAUGUGUAAAUAUUGACUAUAUCACACUAUUACAAAGACAGACUUGUUUUUAAAUAAAAUCAGUUU